AGUUCAAGUACAAUUUUUUGCAUAGGAUUGUCAACAGCAGUGUAAAUAGUUAUUGUUUGUUUAGUGAAGUUAUGGGAUGUGAGCAGUAAGGAUGUUUCGUCUUUGUAGGCGGUAUAAAUCCCCAUUUUCACUUACUAAAGGAAAGGAAGCAAGGUGGGUGGGUCCAUCUUAGUAGAGAUACCCUCUGAGAGUUUCAUCCCUGCUGGAGCAUGCAGGUUUUGCACUUGUGCCAGUUGGGCUGCCUGUUAGUAGUUCCAGAAAUUGGGUAGACCCAGUCCCUCAUUUUCUUGUGGUAUGUACAGUGUGGACCAUUUAAUCCUGUCUUUAUUCCCUGCCCAUAUGAAUGUGUCUAUUUGGGGUUAUUGCAGUGUUUUGAAAUCAGUCCUGGAAAUGGGGAUGUCGAGGGCCUGGAACAAAUAUAGGAAGCGUGGGAGCAAGUUCAUCUUAAUAGGUGCUGGCUGUCCCAGCCAGGAGAUGGACAGUUUCUACCAAGUAUCCAGGUCUUGUUGUGCCUUUUUGAGUAGUUGGAGAUCAUUUAAACAGUAUGUGAGUUGUAGGUCUGCAGGGAGCUGCAUGCCUAAGUAGUGUAUACUUCAAUUUUCAAAAGGAAAUGGAUAGGUCUGUUGUAGUUCUGCAGCCAUUUAGGUAGAGAUAUUAAUUGGUUGUGCCUCAGUUUUUCCCAGGUUGAGUUUGUAUCCCGACCAGACUCCCCCUCUUUGACCGCCAUUGACAAUUAAGUA